rnacentral:rRNA from 1 species
CACGUAGGGUGCGAGCGUUGUCCGGAAUUAUUGGGCGUAAAGAGCUCGUAGGCGGUGUGUCGCGUCGGCCGUGAAAACCUGCAGCUUAACUGUGGGCUUGCGGUCGAUACGGGCAUCACUGGAGUUCGGCAGGGGAGACUGGAAUUCCUGGUGUAGCGGUGAAAUGCGCAGAUAUCAGGAGGAACACCGGUGGCGAAGGCGGUUCUCUGGGACGGUACUGACACUGAGACGCGAAAGCGUGGGGAGCGAACAGG